GGGGCUGAACUGGAAUCGACAGGAAAGACCAUUUCGUAGUAAGCAUGCCGGAGCAGGUUGGAUCACUCCGCUAACAAAUGUCCUUCAACCUAUUUUAAAUGGCAAUAACAAAUUCGCCAUGGCUGCCUAAUCUAAGAGAUUAGAAAGCUUUUGUGCCGCAGCACCUGACGUCCGAUACACGGACUGCCGCACAUCAUCAAUUUCGGGCUGGGAAAUGAGGAUCUUCGACUCAAAUCCGAGAUUUAAGAAGAUACGGAAAAGACUAAAGCCGGUUUUUACGCUUAUCCUUUUCCCGACAAUUUCGAGUAAAAACUAAGCAUGUAGAAAGCUGCCUAAUACUUUGUCUGGACCGGGGUUCGACUCCCCGCAGCUCCACUA
rnacentral:tmRNA from 1 species